UUGGGGAAGUACAAAGCAGAUCUGGACCAGAGUCUUCCUCAUCCUCUGGACUCAGUUGUUGUGUGGCUACAGCGAGGAGAGGCGGAGCUACAGAAAGAUGGAGACGCAUCAACAAACCACGCCGAGGCUGCCAGGGAAGCAAGAGUCCGACAAGACAAACUGAAGGUCAGAUCAGUCACAUCAGAACAAUCCCAUAUGCUGAUGAUGUUGUCCUUCAACAUGCAUAACAGACAAUAAAAUACAUUUUUUUUUCCAGACUUUGCUUGAGGAAAUGAGUCACUACAACAACAUUUUGGAAUCCUUCAAAAACACAGACACUUCAGGGAAUGCAGUUGUCCCUCCUGAGAAGCUUGAUGAGCUAAGAAAUCGGUGUGAGAUGAACGUUUUCUAUUCAGACAUGUGUAAAAUGUUGCUAAUGCACUUUAAUAUGACGUUAGAUUAACCAACAUCAGAGUCACUGGUAAAUAUGACGGAAUCAAGCUGGAAUUCUGGGAAUCCCUUCACACCGUCCUGGACCUCCUGAAUCACAUUGGUGCUAAAGUUCAGGUCUGGAAAGGUCCAUAUGGGUCUGAGGAUCGGGUUCAUGCUCUGUUGCUGGACUGGCAUGUGAGUUGUUUUUUUUUUUUUUGUUUUUUUUUUUUAGGAAACGAUAAGUAAACAGUUCACCAGCUCCCAAACUGAUUUUUCUGUUUGUGUAGGAAACAGUCGAGCGACGAGGUCUCCACUUGAUUCUGAUGGAUGCUCUUCAGACUCUGAAGGAGAAGGCGAACGCUUUCAGCGGAAAACCUUCUCUAGGUUUAUGUCACAUAUCAUGGACCAAACACGAUUUUUGGGUCCAUUUGAAACUUUUUCCUGCCAUUUUCUCGGCAGGUGAGGAGCUCCAGCAUGUAACCCGUCAGGUGAAGGAGUCUGAACGGGAGGCCGAGUUGGUUAAUCAGGCCGUGACCACGGUCAAAGGGACGAUGGAAAGAGUGGCGAGUGCGUGGAAGACGUACAACAAACACCUGGCCUUUCUUCAUCUGCAGGUUCAAAGUCCUGUUGAGGAGGGGGAGGUCAUGAACGAGUGGACUUCACGCCACGCUCAGUUAAAUGAGGCUGGGAAUUUUCUGAUUGAAGUGACUGAAACGUCAACGAGCUUUGUUCUGACCGAACAACUCAGCAAACUCAACAAGUCGUGGGCUGAGCACAUGAAGAAGACAGUGUUUGUAAGAACGCACGCAUUUGAUCACGCUCUGCAGUUAUAUUCAUAUUUAGAAAUCAAGUAACCUGGGUCGUUGGUAAUGGUUGUUGUUCUGACAGGAGUUGCCAUCAGAGACUUGUCUCACGAGUCUUCAAGCAGUGAGCUCAAUGAUCCAGGAGGCCGGUUUGCUUGUGAGGAAACCAGUGGAAGUGGCUUCUGUCCCACUGAAGGACAACAUACAGAAACUGCAGGUUUGCAUAGUUGCUGAAUUGGAGGAAUCAUCUUAGUUUUGUGUGAGUAGCUUUAUUGUUUUCUUCUGUCUUCUGUAGUCACUGAAGAAAAAGAUCUCUGCGGUGGACGGCUCAGCUUUAAUGGACUCUUCAGACUUUGAGACAAGAGAUGCAGAAAAGCUGCAGAAAACUCUACAGGUAGAAUCUGGGAUGCUGAAAUGUCUUCCUUAAGUGUUCGUCGACCACUUCCUGCACUAGACGCAUCGAAAAUGGUCUAUUUUGGAACUUAUUUCAUAUAUGAGGAACUAUAAUGCACAUUAAGCAAGAGAAAGAUUGAAGAUUGAACUACAAGCAAAAAUACAUAAACAUAGAACAUGUUGAUAUAUCAUAAACGCAAGGUCCACCAAAAAGACUCUCACACGUCCAACGUGGCAUCGGCCGAGCUCUACGGCACAGUCAGGGGGACAAGAAAAAAGUAACCAAGGAGUUGAAUCUAGGAAAAGGGUGACGGAGAGGAGAAGAAUGCAGGUUUCCAUGACGACGGGCUCUACUUCUUACACCUUCAGCGGAUUGUUUUGGUCCAGUCUAAGGGAGUGUUCCCUUGAUGCAGAGGUUCCUGAUUAAAGAUGAUUGUUUACGUGCAGGCAGACACAUCCUC
ensembl:lncRNA